rnacentral:rRNA from 1 species
UACGAGGGGUGCAAGCGUUGUUCGGAAUCACUGGGCGUAAAGGGGGCGUAGGCGGAAGUUUAAGUCAGUUGUUUAAUUCUAGGGCCCAACUCUAGACCCGCAAUUGAAACUGGAUUUCUUGAAUAUGUCAGAGGCAGACAGAAUUUCUGGUGUAGCGGUGGAAUGCGUAGAUAUCAGAAGGAAUACCUAUGGUGAAGACAGUCUGCUGGGACAAUAUUGACGCUGAUGCCCGAAAGCGUGGGUAGCGAACAGG